rnacentral:rRNA from 1 species
AGUGAACGCUGGCGGUAGGCCUAACACAUGCAAGUCGAACGGCAGCACAGUAAGAGCUUGCUCUUACGGGUGGCGAGUGGCGGACGGGUGAGGAAUACAUCGGAAUCUACUUUUUCGUGGGGGAUAACGUAGGGAAACUUACGCUAAUACCGCAUACGACCUACGGGUGAAAGCAGGGGAUCUUCGGACCUUGCGCGAUUGAAUGAGCCGAUGUCGGAUUAGCUAGUUGGCGGGGUAAAGGCCCACCAAGGCGACGAUCCGUAGCUGGUCUGAGAGGAUGAUCAGCCACACUGGAACUGAGACACGGUCCAGACUCAUACGGGAGGCAGCAGUGGGGAAUAUUGGACAAUGGGCGCAAGUCUGAUCCAGCCAUACCGCGUGGGGGAAGAAGGCAUUCGGGUUGUAAGGCCCUUUUGUUGUGAAAGAAAAGCAGCAGGUUAAUACCCCGCUGUUCUGACGGUACCCAAAGAAUAAGCACCGGCUAACUUCGUG